CAAUGGACCCAAUUGCAAUUCGAUAACUCCUUAACGAGCACAGUAACACAACUGGGCUUAUCAUGAAGCCCAGGUCAAGAAAUUUUGAAUGCCGAUGAGCAUAACUGGGCCAACAUUGACAGCCCAGAUCCGAUUUUGCACUAACACUUGGUGCGGAAACAAUCUUUCUAUGAAAAUCUUGAAUUAAAUCAAAUACAAAGGUGCAUUAAAGGCCAACAUAGAUCCUGAAAUGAGGGAUUCAGUUCCUGAUGUGAUAACAACUCAUACACAAGUUAUUUCAUCAUUUAACAUUGCAAAUUCAUUAGCUACAACUCAUGCGUGCCUUGGUUCAAACCAACGUCCUUGACUCAAACUUUUCGGAAUGGACAACCUAUAAAGAGUCAAGCUAAGUCUGAAAAAUCUCAAAUUUGAAAUCAAAUUCAAAUUCCAUUUUUGAAAGUCCUUUUGAAAUUCACAGCUUAUAUGCGAACAGAGGCAAAAUUAAACUAUAAACUCCUGAACUUAGUAGACUACGCUUCCGGCUACAUAUACACAAGUCUAAAUACACGAUCAAUGAAAGGCAAAACUCAUCUCAGACUUACUAAACUAGAGCAGGAAUGGUUUGAAAUGAUCAACAUGCAAUCCAUUGCUAUGAAACAAAGUCAGAGCCAACCAACUUCACAAUCAAACUAAGAAGUGUAGCCUCCAGUUAAUACAUAUUACACUAAAUCUAGAAGACUUUCAUGAAAUAACUACAUUCAAGAAAAAAACUCAUAUCUAACGCUUAGGACAAUGCAUGUAGUCGUGGUGACAUGAAUGACUCAUAGAAGGCUGAGCUAAAAGAAACCAAAAAAUACAAAAAGCUAGUAAAAAAUGAAGAUUCAACAGGGAAUUAACAAUGGUCAUUUCAUCAACUUGAGUUACAUGGCCUUCCAUACAACUCAAUCAAGCUUCAUUUCCAUUCAUGGUUUGAAGGAAUACCUUGAAAUGAACAUAAAAUAAGAAGUGAAGGGUCAGCAAUAGCAAUAGCAGAAAUCAGCACCAGCAAAACCAAUUUCAAACAGAAAAAUGAUGUGCAGUAGUCCAAAAACAUGUUUCAAUCGAGCAAUAACCACAGCAAACUUUAGACAAAACUUCUAAAACCCAAAUUCGGUCCAUUUUUACCUCAGAUGAAUAAGAAAUUGUUUUAGAAAUUAAAUACUUCAAAAAUCACAGAAGAAGUUCAAUGGAACAGUGAUUUCAUGAAAUUUUUAGCUAUUUUUGAUUUUUCUGAAAUUUUUUUGCCCUUUAAAUCUGACUUGAAUGUUAAGUUAUGAUGCCGUUAUAGGCAAGGUUCUAGGGUAGCCCUCAGGAAUCAGUUUUUGCACCUCAACCCUUUUCUAAUUUUGAUUUUUGCAUAGGAAACCUUAGGGUAAAUUUCAGAAAUUCAAAUUAGUCCUAAACCCCCUUUCGUCGAAGCUUCUUAAGGCUGUAAUACCCAGAUUCCCUAAGUUAGUUACCUAGAUUACCCUUUAAAACCCCUGUUAUUAUCCUUGAAACCAAAACCAAAUAUGGGUCAAAUUUGACCCAAGGUUGAAUUAAUUCAAAACCCAGACCAAACCAUGCGCCUGUAUUAACAACCCACAUUUGAGUUUACAAACUCUAAACUUAGAGGAAAUCUUCCAAAUGGAACAAACCCUUGAAUUUUAGCAGAAAAAAGAAUUCACUGAGAGAAGCUUGGAAAAUAGUUAUAUAGCAAUUAAAAAAACUAAUUAAUCACAUAAUACCAUGAUAUUAAUACGCUAACCUGUUUUAAAACUAAAACUAUCGAGGAAUAGACUUAGGACCAUAGCCUUAAACAUUAAUUUAAUCAGAAUAUGAAGAGAAGAAACGGAAGGAGGCUGGUUCAAACAUGAAGUAGAUGACGGAGAUGAAAGCGCAAGAACAAAGAACAAAUACCUCGAUGGCCACAAGGCUCGAUAAACUACAAACUAUUUCAACUUGACUCGAUUAACCGUAUGUUCCCUUUGAGAACACACGAGAAAUACUCGUUUCAAGCAUAAUUGUUCAUCAGAAACAAGGACUCGAGAGAUUUUCUUCUCUUACGAUCUCAGAUUCGAAAUAAGUCAAAUUUGGUGAGGACUUUGGAAAAAAUGGCGAUAGAUUAGGGUACAGGGAGUGGUGAUGGUUGCAUGACCAAUUUUUGGUAGUGAUUGGAGCUAUUUCACCGGCGACAAUGGCUGACUCGCUUAUGGGCGGCAUUAUUUGAUGAGGGAAAUAAGAGAAGGGGUUCGCUUGGGUCUUAGGUUUACUUGGGAAUUUUCAGAUAAUCUUAUGUGGGAUAGGGGAUAUGCUAGGGCCACUGGAU
rnacentral:lncRNA from 1 species